CGGGAUAGCGUCAUCCCGCACCUACUUUGGCCCAUGCGUUGAAGGUUUGUCCGUGUGCUUCUCGACAUGUUCGAGGGCGUGUGGACGGGCCGAAAGGCGUGUUCCAAAGUAGGUGCGGGAUUUCCGAAAGGGGCGGUAAUACCGGAUGAUGUCAUCGGACCCAAGUUCGGUGACCAAAGAUUCAUCGGUGUGGGAGCGGCCUAUUUCCUAUCAGCUUGUUGGUGAGGUAACGGCUCACCAAGGCGAUGACGGGUAGCGGGACUGAGAGGUUGUUCCGCCACAUCGGGACUGAGACACUGCCCGGACCUCCACGGAGGGCUGCAGUAACGAAUAUUGGGCAAUGGGCGCAAGCCUGACCCAGCGACGCCGCGUGCAGGACGAAGCCCCUCGGGGUGUAAACUGCUGUCAGGGGUUAGAAAGCCUUCGGGUUGAUCAGCCCCAGAGGAAGUCACGGCUAACUUCGUGCCAGCAGCCGCGGUAAGACGAAGGUGGCGAGCGUUAUUCGGAAUCACUGGGCUUAAAGGGCGCGUAGGCGGAGCGGAAAGUGUCUUGUGAAAUCCCUCGGCUCAACCGAGGAAUGGCUAGGCAAACUACCGUUCCUGAGGCAAGUAGGGGUGCGUGGAACUCUUGGUGGAGCGGUGGAAUGCGUAGAUAUCAAGAGGAACGCCGAAGGUGAAGACAGCGCACUGGGCUUGUCCUGACGCUGAGGCGCGAAAGCGUGGGGAGCAAACAGGAUUAGAUACCCUGGUAGUCCACGCCGUAAACGAUGCCUACUAGGUUGUGGUGGUUCUGACACCGUCGCAGCCGAAGCAAAAGUGCUAAGUAGGCCGCCUGGGGAGUACGGUCGCAAGGCUAAAACUCAAAGGAAUUGACGG
rnacentral:rRNA from 1 species